UGUGGGGGUUCAGUUUGUUAGCGCUAACUUAGCUAAAGUUAGCUCACCUAAGUUAUAGCAGCACAUUAAGGAUGGAUAUUAAAUGCAGAAACAUAUGCAACAGUUAAGUAGUUUGUGUUUAACGUAAGAGAAAGUACAACUUAAAGUUUGUGUUUUAGAGAUUUAUUCCAUAAGUUUUUUUAAUGCUGCAUAGUGAAUAAAUUACAGAUUUACAAUUUAUUUUAACUUAAAUUACAUUUACUGAUGUUUACAGAACCAUUUAAACUGUAUGCACCUCAUUCUAAAAUGCAUGUUCUUGGUCUUUAGAUACCAAAGUGAUUUUGUUACCUGUGGAUCUUCAAACUUCACAUCCAGAGUUGUGAGGAAUCAGAGGUGCAUGCAGCUGCCCACGGGAAAAAUUUGCCAUCAGCCCAACACAGUUUGGAUUAUCAUAGGACUGUCAGAGGUUUGCCAAACCUGUCAAAUGCAUGAUGGCUCCUGUUUGGACUUACCGAUGUCCUCGACUUCAAGUAUCCAUCAAAACUGUAUACAUUUGAGAUAUAUCAGAGACUCUUUGUGGGGCUGGACAUUAUGCAUCCUAAAUCUUCAUCAAAAUAUGCAAAUCUCCUCACUGAGUUGCCUUAGAUGAUUUCUCAAUAGGAUCUGGUAUUAUUAAUGUUUUUAUUUAUGUAUUGUGUACGUGUAGCCACAUUAAUGGCCUAUUUUGUAGUCACUAUUAAAAGGAACAUUGAUUGAUAUUGAAUACAUGUUAUGGUCUUUAAUCCAUC
rnacentral:lncRNA from 1 species